UAUGGCCGUAACACGUUGAAACACCGGCUCCCGUACGAUCACUGAAAAGCAAAGUCGAGCCUAGUCAGUACCUAGAUGGGUGACCGCUUGGGAAUAUCAAGUGCU